CUAAUCCAGUGUUUUUUUUUUGUUGUUGUUGUUUUUUAUGGUUGUAUAUCGCCAUACUUCACUACAGAUACAAGGUUUGUUCAGCUUCUCCUACCUGUUUCUCCUAACUAUAAUGAAGCUCAAUCAGCAGCUCAAAUGUGGUGCUUUGUUUCCAGUGACCGUGGCGUAUUCAUUUGUUGGAGAGGCUGGUAGCUACAGCGCUGACAAUCUAUAUGGUCUUAUCCAAAGGAGUGAUCAUCCUCCAUGGAUUUCAGACGGUUAAAGCAAAGGCUGGUGAUGCAGUCACAAGUGGCUCUGUGAUGUUCCAGUUGUCUGUCAGCGUUGAUUAUGGCUCCAGCAGUGCAGAUUCUGGUCUACAGCGUUCUUCCCAGUGAGAAUGUAGUUGCUGCUAGUGUGCCGUUUGACACUGAUAUGUAUUUCCAGAACCAGGUGUCUCUGCAGUUUUCUCCGGCUACGGCGGUUCCUGUGGAGGGAAAUGUUCUGACGGUUUCUGCUCAAGCAGGAUCUCUGCGUGGUAGAUCAGAGCAUCCGGAUCAUGGAGCCAGGAAGACGUCUGAGUGCUGAGAGGCUGUCUGUGUGCCUCAAUCAGGUUUUUUGUUUGGGCUUUUAAUCUGGAUAUUUCAGUGUGUGGCACUUCUGAUUAGAAUGCCACUUCAGUUUAUCCCAGUGUCUGAAGUACAGACAGAAGUUUUAUCACAACUUCAGUGUAGGUAUGUCUGUUAGUUUGAUUUUUGCUCUAGAAAUUGGUACAUGGCUUAAAGAUAAAAUGGAAAAAUGUAGUCUUGUGUUGUGAUCUUUUAAUAUGACGGCCGGAAAGACGGACGUCCGUCCGUCCGUGCGUUUUUGCGUGCGUUUUUUCCGUGCGUGCGUUUGUCCGUCCGAUCCUUCACAAAGACCCAGGCACCGCAGAAUGGAGUAGCCAUGGAGUGAAGAGUCCCAACACUAGUCUCCCAAGUUUUUG